GACGAACGCUGGCGGUGUGCUUAACACAUGCAAGUCGAACGGUAAGGCCCUUUCGGGGGUACACGAGUGGCGAACGGGUGAGUAACACGUGAGUAACCUGCCCUCAUCUCUGGGAUAACAGUCGGAAACGGUUGCUAAUACUGGAUAUGAGCUUGCAAGGCCUCUUGUGGGUUGGAAAGAUUUUUUUUGGUUGGGGAUGGACUCGCGGCCUAUCAGCUUGUUGGUGAGGUAGUGGCUCACCAAGGCUUCGACGGGUAGCCGGCCUGAGAGGGCGACCGGCCACAUUGGGACUGAGAUACGGCCCAAACUCCUACGGGAGGCAGCAAUGGGGAAUAUUGCACAAUGGACGGAAGUCUGAUGCAGCAACGCCGCGUGCGGGAUGACGGCCUUCGGGUUGUAAACCGCUUUCAAUUGUGACGAAGCUUUUUUGUGACGGUAGCAGUAGAAGAAGCACCGGCUAACUACGUG
rnacentral:rRNA from 1 species